CUGCUGAGGUGUCCGUGGGGUGCAAGAAUUUGUGCUGGUCUCUGUCCUUUCCUGGGUGAUGCCAAAUGUUUCUACGAACGUGUGCCUGUUAGAGCUGGCACUGAGAUGGCUGUGGCGUCCUCACAGCGCACCCCGUCGUUGCCCAAUGCUGGGUGCAGCCGGUUGUGCUCGCCUGGCUUUUGUGGAGCACAACCUGAGCCCCUGGGCCGGAGAGAAGGAGAAAGGGGGUUGUUGUGGUUUUUGUUUGUUUGUUUGUUUGUUUUUGCGCAUUACAUCCAUCUGCUGAAAGGGGCAGCAUAAGAAAACAAGUCUGUGCUCGUCCUCAGAGCAGCGAAGGCAUCCUUCCUCACCUCACUUACCUCACAGACGAGCACAUCAGGCUGGCUGCUCAGUCACAGCCCACAGGGUCUUUUUGGCAUGGUGAGAGAAAAUUGGAUAAAGACUAUUCAAGUCGGGAUUGUUUGCAAGCAGGUCACUGGUGGCCCUUUGCAGUCCAUGGACCACAAUGCGUCUCAGUCACUUUUGCCAUCUCUAGUAGGACAACAGAAGACUUCCAACAGGCGCUGCACUGCCUGAAGCCCCUCAAGGAGAGUGCUGUGGCUUUGCCUGCUCCUUUGUUGCUGUUUGUAUUCCAGCUGGCCCAGAGAUGGAGGGAGAGAUGUCUUCGUAGAUCCUUGGGAUGCGUUCAAAAAUGCAGUCUUUCUUUUAGUCAUGUCUCUGAAGAGAGCACGCACCUUCCUGUAGUUGGUAUAACUCCUCAAUUAGAAGAAUCAGAAAAAUAG
rnacentral:lncRNA from 1 species